CCUCGACGAGAACCUCCUCAGCCCUCGCCAUCCCUCCCCCGCGCGCGAUCAGCAGGCAUACAGAAAAAGUUUGUGCUCGUAGAGACCUCUCUCCAGCAAAUUCUUAAGGGACAAGACGAUCUCAAGGUGCUCUUUGAAGGCAGCACAAAAAGCAAUCCUGACCAGAUGAGUGCUCUG